AACCUGUGAGGGAAUCAAGCCUACCAAUGAUCAGAUAAGUGAACAUGCAAGUCCGUCCUUCAGUGCCAAUUGAGUCUUUUCUUUUUCUUGGGAUAGAGUCUUAUUCUGUCACAAAGCGGUAUGAUCUAGGCUCACUGCAACCUCUGCCUCCUGGGUUCAAGUGAUUCUCCUGCCUCAGCCUCCUGAAUAGCUGGGAUUAUGGGCACGUGCCACCACACCCAGCUAAUUUUUGUAUUUUUAGUAGAGACAGGGUUUUACCAUGUUGAUCAGGCUGGUCUCGAACUCCUGACCUCAGGUGAUCCACCCGCCUCAGCCUCCCACAGUGCUGGGAUUACAGGUGUGCACCACUACGCUUGAACUGAUUUUUGUAUUUUUAGUAGAGAUGAGGCUUCAUCAUGUUGGCCAGGCUGGUCUUGAACUCCCGGCCUCAAGUGAUCCACCCACCUCAGCCUCCCAAAGUACUAGGAUUACAGGCGUGAGCCACUGCACCCAGCCCCUACUUGAGUCUUAAGAUGAGACUGAAGGCCUGUCUGACAGUUUUACUGCAAUCUCAAAAGAGACCUUGAGCCAGAAAGAUCCAGCAAAGCCACUCUGGAUCCCUGAGCCACUGAAACUGUGAGGCAAAGAAACUGAAGCCCAGAGAGGCUCGAUGACAUGUUCAAAGUCACAUAUCCAGAAGAGGAUGGAGUCAAAGUCUUUCUGGAAAUUUCCAAAAGGAAGAAUAGGAUCCUGGUUUGGAAUUUCUCUGAAAUUGGACUUCUAAUUUUCUGUAGGAAUGAACGUUCCCAAAUUGGAGCUGUCCAGCAAUAAGGUGGAUUGCCUUUGAGGAAGCUGAGUUCCUUGCCAUAGGAAGUAUUCAAGCAGAAAGGUACAAAGACUCAACGACAGAGUGCCAGAGAGGAUGUCUUAUGGAGAUGGUUGACAUAAACCUCUCUAACUGCAUGGGCUAGAAGGGAUCCAGGAAGCCCCCUACAAACCAGCAACUCAGAGAGGUUCAUUAACUUGCCGAAGGCCACAAAGCUGUUAAGUGUUCAAACAGAUGGCGUCAAACCAGAUCUUUAGCCUCAGGGACCAGAGCUCUGCAGCCUGGAGGGGACCUUCUGCAGCAUCAUUGCACAGAAGACAUCAAUCAAUCAGUCUUUCAGUGGCCUUACAUUUUUCUCCACUUGCAGGUUAUGGGUCACCAUUUUACAAAUUCCUCCAGGACAGAAAGAAACUGUUUCUCCUGCCUGUUCUUUCCCAGCCCAGGCUGUCACCGGGGAUCCAAAUGUCAGGCUUUAUGCAAGUUCUCGAUGUUGGAACCUCUCAUGAAAAGUGGAGUGAACAAGAGGGAAAGUGGGCAAACCUCAGGCCUCACAGCUUUAAUGCCACCAAUGCAUUUGGUGAGGGACCUGAUCUCUCUGCUUCCAAGACAGAGUCUUGUUGCUGUCUUCUGGAGGGGAGGAACCCCGUGUCCUCACGUGGCAGAAGAGCAUAAGAGAGCAAACCCACUCCUUCAAACUCACCUUUUAGAGAUGGGGUCUCACUCUGUCACCCAGGCUAGAGCGAGCAUAGUGGUAUGAUCCUAGCUCAUUGCAGCCUCAAACUCCUGGGCACAAGCCAUCCUCCUGCCUCAGCUUUCUGAGUAGCUGGGACUACAAGCAUGUGCCACAGUGCCCAGCUAAUUUUUUAAUUAUUUUUUGUAAAGACAGGGUCUUGCUUUGUUGCCCAGGCUGGUCUAGAACUCCUGGGCUCAAGCAAUCCUCCCCCAUCAGGCUCUCAAACUGCUGGGAUUACACUGUGAGCUAACACUCCUGGCCUGCAAACACUUUUUAUAAUGAGUGUCAUUAGUCCAUUUAUGCAGGCAGAGCUCUCAUAACCUAAACACCUCCCAUUAUGCCCCACCUUUCAACAUGGUUGCACUGGGAAUUCAAUUCCCAAUACAUCAAUUUUUGGAGGGGACAAAAACAUUUAAACCAUAGCAUACCUCUAAUCAAAGGCCCUUCACUGUCCACACUUCUUACUGCUCUUCACAACAUGCACCACCAAGCAGACUGAUAUUCUAGCUGUAAUUACAGAAAAACUGUUCCUUCAGCUUCAUAAUGGUGUGAUAUGUUUUAUUUCCCCCAUUUGCCCUAUAUUCUCAUAGCCAGCGAUAAAACCAAGUGGUAAAUGAGUGAUUCUGACCUUCCUAACUGGUAAGGAUCAGAAGGCUAUUGAGAGAGGGCAAGAGGAGGUAACUCAGCUAAAGCAAAGAAAACAAACAAAACCAAGUGUAAGAAACAAUCCCACAGUGGAGAACUGUCAAGCAAACUACUUUUUUUUUUUUUUUUUGAGACAGAGUCUUGCUCUGUCACCCAGGUUGGAGUGCAGUGGUGCCAUCUCGGCUCACUCGCCUCCCGGGUUCAAGCAAUUCUCCUGCCUCAGCCUCCCAAGUAGCUGGAACUACAAGCAUACGCCACCACAGCCGGCUAAUUUUUUGUUUGUAUUUUUAGUAGAGACGGGGUUUUGCCACAUUGGGCAGGCUGGUCUUGAGCUCUUGACCUCAGGUGAUCCACCCGCCUCAGUCUCCCAAAGUGCUGGGAUUACGCACAUGAGCCACCGCACCUGGCCCACAACUACCUUUGGCUUUAAAAACAUGGCUUUAAAGUCUGGAGGCUGUGACCGAGCCAAAGCUAAAUGUUCCCCAAAUCCUAUUUCAUUUUCCACUGCCUGGGCACAAGGGAAGACCAUAGCUACCAGCAACCUUUCCAGUUAAUCUGAUGCCAUGUGAUCCAUUCAGGCCCACAGCUAUGAGCACACACGAUACACAUCAUGCUCUUUUUUAAUCUGUCACAGACAUCUUGGAAGCCAUAGGUUGAUAUAGUGGCAUCACAAAAUGAGGCAGCCUCGAUCAGGAACGACUGCAGAGAGCACAGCUGCCCCGGAGAGUCACCAGACUCUGCGUGACGCAGACACCGUGGUGCUGGGUGGAUUUGUUCCUGCAUCAUAGGCCAGGCCCUUCCC